ACUUGUUUAUUUACAAUUUGUCUUCAUGUUUUAAUAUGCCAAGUGGCUUAUUGCAUUUUAUUUGAUUCACAUUUGGCUUUUUUACUGCAGGAGCAUUGCGCAGCACAUCGUCCCAGGAAGCUGGAGUGAGCUCACUGGAAAAGACAUGCAGGAGAUCCCACGCCAGACCUCGGGGAAUGACUGUGGUGUUUUCAUGCUCAUGUACUCCCUCUGGCUCUGUACGGACACUACUUUUCACUACAGUGUGCUGGACAUGCAGUCAAUCCGGCGUUGGUGGUGUGUCCUUCUAAUGGAGCGCUUUGGCAUUGAAGGGUAGGACAACUUCUUGAAAUAUCUGAUGUAUUGUUUAUCAUGAUUAGUAACUGCCUGUG